GUCCCUACGGGCGGCAGCAGUGGGGAAUCUUAGACAAUGGGGGAAACCCUGAUCUAGCCAUGCCGCGUGAGCGAUGAAGGCCUUAGGGUUGUAAAGCUCUUUCAGCUGGGAAGAUAAUGACGGUACCAGCAGAAGAAGCCCCGGCUAACUCCGUGCCAGCAGCCGCGGUAAUACGGAGGGGGCUAGCGUUGUUCGGAAUUACUGGGCGUAAAGCGCACGUCGGCGGAUUAUUAAGUCGGGGGUGAAAUCCCGGGGCGCAACCCCGGAACUGCCUUCGAUACUGGUAGUCUUGAGGUCGAGAGAGGUGAGUGGAAUUCCGAGUGUAGAGGUGAAAUUCGUAGAUAUUCGGAGGAACACCAGUGGCGAAGGCGGCUCACUGGCUCGAUACUGACGCUGAGGUGCGAAAGCGUGGGGAGCAAACAGGAUUAGAUACCCCAGUAGUC
rnacentral:rRNA from 1 species